rnacentral:misc_RNA from 1 species
AAGUCGUAACAAGGUUUCCGUAGGUGAACCUGCGGAAGGAUCACUAGUGAUUAAAUCGAGAGCGUCUUAAUUGACCUCUCACCCUUCACAUCCACAUACACCCUGUGAAUCGUUUGGCUUUUCAUUAAUAGAGCGCAAGCUCGACUAGUGAAAAGUCAUCAUUUAUACAUACCCCAGUCUUAUGAAUGUAACAGUUUUAAUAAACAUAAUAAAACUUUUAACAACGGAUCUCUUGGUUCUC